AUAAUGAUACUUCUGUAAAACGCAGCUCGGCCACAGUGAAGGCGGAGAGAUGAAAUUUCUAUGG
ncrna:unclassified sequences pemK RNA